AGCUUGCUCUCUGAUUCAGCGGCGGACGGGUGAGUAAUGCCUAGGAAUCUGCCUGGUAGUGGGGGACAACGUCUCGAAAGGGACGCUAAUACCGCAUACGUCCUACGGGAGAAAGCAGGGGACCUUCGGGCCUUGCGCUAUCAGAUGAGCCUAGGUCGGAUUAGCUAGUUGGUGAGGUAAUGGCUCACCAAGGCGACGAUCCGUAACUGGUCUGAGAGGAUGAUCAGUCACACUGGAACUGAGACACGGUCCAGACUCCUACGGGAGGCAGCAGUGGGGAAUAUUGGACAAUGGGCGAAAGCCUGAUCCAGCCAUGCCGCGUGUGUGAAGAAGGUCUUCGGAUUGUAAAGCACUUUAAGUUGGGAGGAAGGGUUGUAGAUUAAUACUCUGCAAUUUUGACGUUACCGACAGAAUAAGCACCGGCUAACUCUGUGCCAGCAGCCGCGGUAAUACAGAGGGUGCAAGCGUUAAUCGGAAUUACUGGGCGUAAAGCGCGCGUAGGUGGUUUGUUAAGUUGGAUGUGAAAGCCCCGGGCUCAACCUGGGAACUGCAUUCAAAACUGACAAGCUAGAGUAUGGUAGAGGGUGGUGGAAUUUCCUGUGUAGCGGUGAAAUGCGUAGAUAUAGGAAGGAACACCAGUGGCGAAGGCGACCACCUGGACUGAUACUGACACUGAGGUGCGAAAGCGUGGGGAGCAAACAGGAUUAGAUACCCUGGUAGUCCACGCCGUAAACGAUGUCAACUAGCCGUUGGGAGCCUUGAG
rnacentral:rRNA from 1 species